rnacentral:tRNA from 1 species
CUGGGGUUAUGGCUCAGUGGUAGAGUGCUUGCCUUGCACGUGUGAGGCACUGGGUUCGAUCCUCAGCACCACAGA